rnacentral:rRNA from 1 species
AAGGUAGCAUAAUCAUUUGUUCUUUAAUUGAGAACUAGUAUGAAAGGCAAGACGAGAGUUUAACUGUCUCCCCCCUAAAGAAAAAAAUUAAUAUUUUAGUGAAGACCCUAAAAUAGAAACGCUAGACGAGAAGACCCUGUCGAGCUUAAGAAAAAUUUUUAUAAGAUAAACACCCUUAGAUAAAAACCUACUAAAAUAAAAACAAUAAAAAUAUCUUUGGUUGGGGCAACCACGAAGAAAAAAAAACCUUCGAAUAUAAUAAAAAUAAACAAAUUUAAAAUUAAAACUUUAAUAAAAUGAUCCGGAAUUACCGAACAAAGAAAAAAGUUACCGCAGGGAUAACAGCGUUAUUCUCUUUAAGAGUUCGUAUUGACAAGAGAGUUUGCGACCUCGAUGUUGGACCGGGGCAACUAAGGGGUGCAGCAGCCCCUAAAAGUAGGUCUGUUCGACCUUUAAAGCCCUACGUGAUCUGA